rnacentral:lncRNA from 1 species
GGGACAGCUAAAUAGCACAUAAGCCACAGGGCUCAGAGGAAGACUUCCAGCACAAAAAUUUAAUAGGAGGCCUGCAGGCUACUUUUACUGCCCCCUCGGCUGUUCAGCCAUGGUAGAUUGAAGAUCAACUUCUCUUCAGUAUUACAGUCCGUAGUGCUGCAACAUUCUUCACUGAAGACACACUCACAGCAAAACUUGGGCCAGUUUCUUAACGCUGCAUCUUCUAUGUCUCACCUCAGUCCUUCUUCUGAGAUCCCAACCUCCUGCUUUCCCCCAGUGUAUACUGAAGAAUGGGAUGUGUUUUAAUUAUUCCCUCAUUCAUCAAUACAUCUCCUUCGCUUCACUUGCCCUAUUGCCAGAGACAACAGCAGAGCGUGGCAGCUA